CUCAAAAGCAUACUAAAAACAAUUAACCUAAAUGUUGAGCAAAUCCAGUAAGAAAUGUUUUGUUGUUUCGUGUUUUCUAAACCAUUACCAGACAGGCUAUAUGGUUUAAUCCGGCAGGCUACAGUAAUGAACUACGUCAUUCACACCUAUAGUAUAUGUACAAUCGGUUUUCUUAAAUACUAUAUAAACAGCACUGACAAUGGAAGUCAAAUCUGAAGUUAGAAGAACAAAAACGACACUUACCGGCUCGUGCACAAAUUCCCAUCACAUUACCCUAUAGUCCAUAUGAGCGUGAUGUCUUUUCAGUUUCUAUUUAAUUUAUAUACAUUUUAUCAGUUCAUAUUAAACAGAAGAUAAAGCGGCUCCUGACUGAGGAUGCGACGGAUUUAAAAAGCUUUGCAGCGCGUGAAAGUGUUGCGUGGGCUCUCUCCGCGCGCUCUGCUCCUCGCGCGCUCACCAGCAGGCACGAAAAACUUCAGUGGGAGCUGCAUCCUCUCCCUCUCUGCAUCUUUCAGUCUAACUCUUCUUCUUUACUUUGUCCGUGUUUCAUGCCGCUGAACUUACAGUAACAGUAAUCUGAAUGUUUUGGUGAAGUGAUGUUGCACUGUUACGUCAUAUCAGCAGUGUGUUUGGAUCGCAGUAUCACAGUAAGGAUGAUGCUCUUGUUGUAUUUUCAUCUUUGUCAUAUCAGGUCUGUUUGUUCUGUUUUGUUUUUUAAUCACACUCCAUCCUUUACUGGGACAUCAGACAAACAUUCUGUCUCUCUCUUGCUUUUUUGUCUCUGUCCCGCCUGUCUCUCUUUCUAUUAAUCUCUCUCUUCUUUGCCUAUUUUGGCAGGCCUGUGCCAGGUAUUUGUUGAAAUUCCACACACCCCGCAGGGAGAGGUAUGUUGCCCUUCUUCUAGUCUUGGCCCUGGUGCCUGUCUCUGUCCAUCUUGUGUUCUCAAAUAUACAGCACAUGCCUGGGACACGCUAAGCCCAGAUCACCUCUCUAAAUCCUGCAGACUUCACACAAGAGUUAUAACCCAUUUUAGACCAACACAGCCGUGGCCUGAGAAAGGAUUAUCAGUCUAAUGCCUCAACAGGCAUAAUAUGAACAUGAAAUGAAAAUCCUGUAAUUAUUUACUCCCCCUCACUUUGUUCCAAACCUGUGUGCUGUUAUUUACAACAAUUUAAGGCAACAUAAAGUUCUUUUCAAGAAGAAGUUCAUAGUGACCUUGGCUGCUACAAAAGAUAUUUAGAAAAAUAUUUCAGCAGUGUUUGUCCAUGAAAAUGAAAGUCACUGGGGUCCAAAACAACACUGGGUCUCAAUGAUUUUCAUUGUUUCAUUGUUUUGUUUUCCAAAAGUAAUACAAAUUUGGAAUAGCAUGAGACUGACUAAAUGAUUACAGGAUAUUAAUUUUGUUGAAUGUACUACCCAUUUAAACCAAACAAAGAAAUCUUGAAAAUGCCAUAAACUUAAAUCAUAUUCACGGUUUUCUGAAGCCGUACGAUAGCUUGUGAGAGUAACAGACUGAAAUAAAAAUUAUUCACUGGUUAUCUUAUCUCCCACUUGCAGUUUAGAAGAAUUGGAAUAUAGCACAAAAGCCAUAUUUUAUGGAGCUUACAUGUUAAAUGAAAAAGAUCUGUGUAAAAUAUUUAAAAAAUAAAUUAAAUAAAUCCA
rnacentral:lncRNA from 1 species